UUAACCCCCCCCCCCCCAAACGUUUACAUGGUAUGUUCGGAAACACUACGGAUUCUCAAAGAACCGCGGAAAGCUCGACAGAACGUCCGCCAUUUGCAAAGAAUGCUGUUCAUCCUGAGUCGUUAGCAGAACAAAAGCAAACAUCAGCAACAUCGGUCAAGCGUGGCGGCGAACUCAAGUGCUGCAGCAGGACCGGCUUUGACCAUUGAUCCUGAUAAAGUCAGCGGGUGACCCCGGCUUGAUGCGACAAAGAAGUGAUCUGACCGGACGCUGCGUACAACUUCUGGACUCCUCGUUUGUUACACGUCCCAUCCACGGAGGCUUGCAGCUCAGCCAAGGGAAAAGGGGAGAGAGGUGAGGGGAAGGUUGCCGUGGUGAGGAGAGAGGGGCCGGCUGGCUGAUAACCACCGUGCUCCUUUCCAUCUCCUGGGCGGAUGACGGAGUAGCAGUGAGGAGAAAGAGGCUCGGCGGUCCUUGCUCGCACAGGCCGUAGUUUCCCAGCGGUCCGGUCGCACGAAGAGGCUGCAAGGCCUCUGCGUCGUCAGCUUCCGACACAUCUGACAUGUCCAAGGUGUUGGGCAGAUUAAUGUGGCUCCAUUCACCUGUGGGAGCAGCGGGGGAAGUGCUCCACUUGGCACUGGCUGCUGUUUCUGUCUUCUGCUCCAACUGACAGAUGUAGUCCAUCAACUCCUGCGGCGGGAAAAUAUAGCCAUCAUUGCACACGACGGGGCUCUCCUCCGUCGUUUGCAUAUCAGCAGUAAGCUUCUCCAGAUGCUCACGGUCCCUCUGCCAAGGCAACGCACAACCAACAUGACGCCGAACAACACAACGGUGACGACGAUGUCAAUUAUCUUCAGAAGCGAGUCCACCCGCUGUACCUUGGCGAUGUCCUGCAGACUUUGCCUCUCCUGCGCCCACUGCGCUCUGCUCUCUCUCAGUGCCAAACUGGAAUCUGCAAGUUGGAGGACCUCCUUUCUGUGGGCUGUGGUCAGUUUCUGCGUCAGGGUGCUGAUGGUGUUCUGGAGCUGCAGCACGCAGGUGUCUCUUUGGGCCAGCGAGUUCCUCAGGCCUUGGAACUCCUUGGACAAAUUUCGGAGUUCGCCCUCAGUCUGUUCCAACAUGGUCUAAUAAAGGUGACACGGAUACAAACAAGCUGUGGCGUUUUUUGCUCUUUCCUCCAUCCUGCACAGAUUUAGAAUAACAAAGGGACUCACUGGAACCAUUAUGCAGCUUGUUUGGAUCAGCCAUUCCAGAUCUGAGUCACAUUUUUGCAUUUCCUUCCUAAUGCAACCAGUCCGACCUGCCUCAGUGAUGCCAUCCAGACUGUCAACCUGGUGGUGGUGGUUGUCCCAGAAGCCGCUUGCAUCCCAUCGGGGUUUCAUCUGGCCUGUCAGGAAUUCCACUUUAUUUCCCCAGGGUCUGUUCGUCUGUGAUCUGCCGGGCUCAUCACUGGAGAAGAGGAAGAAGGCUAACUGGGGAGCCUGCACUUGGCUGUAAAUCUGUCCUGGUUGUUUGGCGUUCCUGGGGUGCCUUCGCUUCUGCAGCCAAGUACCUGCGUUCCCAGGUCAGCUUUCAGACAGAAUCCCUCCAGCGUGUCCUAGGUCUUCCCGGGGAUCUUCUCCCUGCUGGGCAUGCCCGGAAAACCUCACCAGGGAGGCGUCCGGGAGGCAUGCAGACGAGAUGCCCGAGCCACCUCAACUGGCUCCUCUCGAUGUGAAGGAGGAUGACUGAUGGAUGACUGACCUCCUCACCCAAUCUCUUAGGUUUGCGCUUCUGACUCUUCAACGUGACCAAGUAACGUCGGAAAGGCUUCGGGCUCCAGCAAGGUUGGCAAGUCCUGCAACUCCAACCACUUCUUUGGGAAGAGGUUUGGGAUGGCUCUGGACAUUCGGAUUUUAUUUAUUUAUUUUUAGUUUUUUCUAACACCGGCUGACUGUGAUGUCACAGUGAGCCAAUCCUCAAACAUUUCUAUCCUUGAAUUUGGAGUUGACCAAUCCAGGGUGUCUAAGAUUCUAAAAUAUUGUCAAUAGCAGAUGACAUGUUCUUCACCAAACGUUCUUUACCACUUUAUAGUUCCGUUGUUCGUCCACAUACAGUCAACGGGACCGUGACUACGGCUGCUACUCCGCUAAUGUGUUACUUAUGCUACGCAGCAUGCAUCGACACAGGGCGAUAGGGAACGCUACCAUUCAUCCUCAUAAUCUCCACACAUUUCAACUGUGGUCAAGCUGACAUCUGCCCGACCAAAUUCACGUGCGUGGUGUAUCGUGAUAGCAGGGGACAGGCAUGUGUUAGCUUGUAAACAAGGACUGAAGCCGCGACCGUGACUAAUAGGCAUCACCGGUCCACGGGUUAUAAAUGAUACAAAUGACUGUCAUGAUCCGCUGUCACCUUCUGGGUGCUAAGUGAGUGGAAAUAUCUCUUAUGCCUUUUAUUAUUUCGCCUAUAUAAAAAUACAACCAAAACAUGUACCAAAACAUCUAGAAAGGUUAGUGGUGCGUAUUAAUGCUUGAGACGACAGAUGCUGCGAUUGACCGGUCACCAAUCACUAACGACCGAUUUCCGUGAAAAAGCAUAUCCCGAUAAAUACCUUUCAACACUCACCUUCGGCUCGCAACCUGUAGGGCAGGGGUGCUCACACUUUUCAGCAUGCGAGCUACUUUUAAAAUGAUCAAAAUGAUCUACCCACUACAAAAAUGCAAAACAUCUAUUUAUUUUCAAAUGUAUUGAGGAUUAUUUGUACGUACAAUGUAUGUUGAUGUACCUUACAUAACCAAAUGAGCCAAUAUUGCAAAACACACAUAAUUAACUAUUAACAUUUUUUGUAAUUACCUGAGUUUACUUUGAUGACUUGCACUGAAUUGAACCAGCCAGGGAUGCAUAGUCCGGACAGUAGCUGCUGAUAGCCAGCCUCAAGCACACUUCCAAAUGUUUAUCAGUCAUGGAUAAUAUCCGUAUCAUAAUAUCCGUAUAAUAUUCCAUAUCCGUAUGGAAGUGAUAUGUUUUUUGCCUUUUUACUUGGUCCAGUUUUUGCCUUUUUACUUGGUCCAGCUCCUUCACUCAUUUUAGUGACCAUAAACUUUAGCGAGGGCUUAAAAUCUGACGCAAUUCGCCGACUAGCUUAGCACUUUGCAUCGUUGUUUGCGCAUGAGCGGUGACCUAAAGGUCAAAAUUCAGUUGUCAUCUGACUGGUUGUCCUGUAUGUCAAUCAAGUAACGGGGAUGGAUGAUAGGCUGACAUCGUAAGUUCUGCUGCACUUAGAGACGUUGUUUGAUUUGAUUGGUCGCCCGAAGGGCAACAUUCAGUUGUCAUCUGAAUGGCUGCCCUGUAUAUCAAUCAAGUGACGGCAUUGAUGCUGGGAUGAUAUUUUUUUAAUGUCACGCCGCGAUCGACCAGCGAUCGACCAGUACCACCUCCGCGAUCGACCGGUAGAUCGCGAUCGACUUAAUGAGCACCCCUGCUGUAGGGGUAGUAGGGGCGUAACAAUUAAUCUACCGCAUCAAUGUAUCUAUUUAUAUUCCUGUGAUCCAACUACAUGGAUCUGUGUUCUGUGUUCAACAAGUUGCCAUUCCGGACGAUUGCAGCAUUUAAUUCAAGCAUGGCAGUAUCACGAUUGACCCAGGCCGGUUAAUUAGUCUCCCAAAUGCAGAGGUAGUAGAAAAACAAGUUUAUUAACAAAGGAACAAACAUAGAGCAGCUGAAAAGGUGGUAAAACUACGGUAACAACAGUAACGGUUGGACCAGUAACGGGCAAAGAACACUUCAUACUAAACAGAUUAAGUAUAAUCCGUUGUAAAUUAGCUACAUGUGUGCUCGGUAAGCUCCGCCCAUGAGGCUUAAAGGCGCACUGCAUCCCGAGAGAGAGAUAGGCGGCAGCAGAGCAGCACAAACAGAACAUGACAAGCUUCAUAUGGAUGUGUGGGUUUGUUUUUUUUUAGUACUUUAAAUUAUAAAGAACUUGAUUAAAUCAGCUUGUGUGUGACAUCAUUAUGAAUCCUCAAUAAAACGUAGCAUGGCGGAUGGCAGAGGACAAUCUAUUACGUCACCAACAAUUAAGCUAACAUUGCGGUCCGGAGUGUGGAAACACUUUGGCUUUUGCGAUCUAAAUAAGUCACUCGUUUGUUAAGUAAAAUAUGAAGGCAACACGACAACGACUAGUCCAGGGGGUACCCCGCCUCUUUCCUUACCAAAAAAAAACAACAGUUCCUAAAUGGUGUCGGAUCGUAUCAUUCGUCCAAGCAAAAAUCAUGAUACGUAUCGUUCCAUGUCUGGGAACUUCUGUCCAUUUGGUAAACUCCCCUUUCCAUGCAUCCCCAAAUAUUCUCUGAUUAAAAAAAAAAAUAGAUAAUGGUACCAUGCAGGAUGGUCCAAAAGCUACACACCAAACCCGCACAGAAAACUUUCUAGAUCUUCCAGAAUAUGCACUUAUUCCAGCUGUAUUUCCUUGAAUUUAUCUUCCCGCCAAAACGUUCUGUUUUGCACACACCCACUCUGCAGCGAUUGGUCACACGCCCCAAAGUGCCUCCUAACUACCAAGUGUUUAGCCCAGGGGUGGGCAAACUACGGCCCGGGGGCCACAUCCGGCCCGCCAAGUGUUUGAAUACGGCCCGCCCAAUCUUUCAAAAGUAUUGAAUUUAAAGUCAACAUACAAGCUGGCAUCAUGGCCUGAGCCAACCUUUUGAUGGUUGUAUCAAUUUCGUUGUUUGACAUGGUCUGUUGUUUACAAAGUGCUCCUGAAAAAAGGGACACAAGCACAUAAUAAUAAUAAAAAUUUAAAUAAUAAUUAUUAUAUUAUUAUUAUAACGAUUAUGAUUAGUAUAUUUAUUAUAUUAAUGCUAGUUAUUAUAUUCAUUCAUUCAUUCAUUUUCUAACGCUUUUUCCUCACGAGGGUCGCGGGGGGUGCUGGAGCCUAUCCCAGCUGUCUUCGGGCGUAAGGCGGGGUACACCCUGGACUGGUCGCCAGCCAAUCACAGGGCACGUAUAGACAAACAACCAUUCACACUCACAUUCAUACCCAUGGACAAUUUGGAGUGGCCAAUCAACCUAGCAUGUUUUUGGAAUGUGGGAGGAAACCGGAGUACCCGGAGAAAACCCACGCAUGCACGGGGAGAACAUGCAAACUCCACACAGAGAUGCCCGAGGGUGGGAUUGAACCCUGGUCUCCUAGCUGUGAGGUCUGCGCGCUAACCCCUAGACCACCGUGCCGCCCUAAUUAUUAUAUUAAUUAUAUAUAAUAAUAUUGUUAUAUUUGCAUAUUUUACAUAAUAAUAAUAUAAUAAUUAUUAUUUUAAUUGUAUUUGAAUUAUUAUAAUAUUUUAUUAUUUUUAAAAUAUUUAUAAAAUAAUAAAUAAUAAUAGCAGAUUGCAUGACAA